UUACAGCCCAAUAGCUCAAACAUUGGGCCGGGCCAGGUCAGGUUUAGCCCAUCAUAACCUGACUGAGUUCAGGUAGCCUCAGUCUCCGUUUCGACUGUACACAAAUGCAUGUCGUCCCUUCUCCAAACCUGCGUUUAGUCGUACCCCGAUCAGUCAAUGAUCCCUUCUCCAAGCGCUGCGUUUGGGUCGAUCUCCGAGUUCAAGUGGAAUUCAGAUCUGAGCUGGACUUCUACCUAUGAUUCUUCUGAGAAGUAUCUUUUCCCUCAACUUUGGCGGUCACAUCUUAAGAUCAAAGUUUGUUAAAAAGCUCCAAACCUUUAUAAAAGGCGUGUUCCAAUGUCAGUCUUAUAUAUUUAUUUAUUCUUGCUUUUCACGUAUGAGAUUCCAAGUUCCAACUACAAGUCGGAGUUGUUGGGGUAACCGGAUGGGUUAUUGAAUCGGUCAAAAUAAUUUAGUGACUCAUGGGUUAAUGGUUAGUCGGUGAUUGAACUAAUAUUUGAUGUCGGUAUAAUAUAUUAAGUAUAUAAUGUUUAUAUUAUUAAAAUAAAAAUUAUUUAGAAAAACUUAAAAUUAUGUAUAAAUAAUUUAAUAUUAAGUAUGAUUAUUACAAACAAUUAGGAUAAUAAAAUAACAACUUCACAUGGCAACCCAACUUCUCGUUUUGGAACAGGGUGCCCAGCCACCACGGCUUGAGGCCAUUUUUUAGGGGUAGUAAAAAAAAGAAAAAAAAAAAAAAAAAA